GGACUACUAGGGUAUCUAAUCCUGUUUGAUCCCCGCACUUUCGGGUCUGAGUGUCAGUGUGUAGCCAGAUAGCCGCCUUCGCCUCCGGUAUUCCUGUUGAUAUCUACGUAUUUCACCACUACACCAACAAUUCUACUAUCCUCUCUACCACUCAAGCUUCGCAGUAUCGAAUGCACUUCUGGGGUUAAGCCCCAGGCUUUCACACCCGACUUACAAAGCCACCUACACCCGCUUUACGCCCAAUGAUUCCGAACAACGCUAGGAUCCCUCGUCUUACCGCGGCUGCUGGCAC
rnacentral:rRNA from 1 species